GACGAGCGCUGGCGGCGUGCCUAAUACAUGCAAGUUGAGCGCUGUAGGUUGGUACUUGUACCAACUGGAUGAGCAGCGAACGGGUGAGUAACGCGUGGGGAAUCUGCCUUUGAGCGGGGGACAACAUUUGGAAACGAAUGCUAAUACCGCAUAAAAACUUUAAACACAAGUUUUAAGUUUGAAAGAUGCAAUUGCAUCACUCAAAGAUGAUCCCGCGUUGUAUUAGCUAGUUGGUGAGGUAAAGGCUCACCAAGGCGAUGAUACAUAGCCGACCUGAGAGGGUGAUCGGCCACAUUGGGACUGAGACACGGCCCAAACUCCUACGGGAGGCAGCAGUAGGGAAUCUUCGGCAAUGGACGAAAGUCUGACCGAGCAACGCCGCGUGAGUGAAGAAGGUUUUCGGAUCGUAAAACUCUGUUGGUAGAGAAGAACGUUGGUGAGAGUGGAAAGCUCAUCAAGUGACGGUAACUACCCAGAAAGGGACGGCUAACUACGUG
rnacentral:rRNA from 1 species